rnacentral:rRNA from 1 species
CCUACGGGUGGCUGCAGUGGGGAAUAUUGGACAAUGGGCGAAAGCCUGAUCCAGCCAUGCCGCGUGUGUGAAGAAGGCCUUCGGGUUGUAAAGCACUUUCAGUGGGGAAGAAAGCCUUGGGGCUAAUACCCUCGAGGAAGGACAUCACCCACAGAAGAAGCACCGGCUAACUCCGUGCCAGCAGCCGCGGUAAUACGGAGGGUGCGAGCGUUAAUCGGAAUUACUGGGCGUAAAGCGCGCGUAGGCGGUCUGAUAAGCCGGUUGUGAAAGCCCCGGGCUCAACCUGGGAACAGCAUCCGGAACUGUCAGGCUAGAGUGCAGGAGAGGAAGGUAGAAUUCCCGGUGUAGCGGUGAAAUGCGUAGAGAUCGGGAGGAAUACCAGUGGCGAAGGCGGCCUUCUGGACUGACACUGACGCUGAGGUGCGAAAGCGUGGGUAGCAAACAGGAUUAGAUACCCUGGUAGUC